rnacentral:pre_miRNA from 1 species
UACCGUCGCUGUUAUUGCAAAAUGUUCUAUUUUCGAUGACAUAAGACAUUUUGCAAUAACAGCGACGAUA